GAUCCGGUGGUUGAACGUGGAAUUGCCAUCGCUCAACGGAUAAUAGGUACUCUGGGGAUAACAGGCUUAUUGGACUCGAGAGUUCACAUCGACAGUCCAGUUUGGCACCUCGAUGUCGGCUCAUCCUAUCCUGGGGCUGUAUAAGGUCCCAAGGGUCCGGCUGUUCGCCGGUUAAAAGGGUACGCGAGCUGGGUUCAGAACGUAGUUGACACUGCGUUUUUCCAUAGUAAUAUGGAAAGAGAAUUGACUUAUAUCGGUGAAGCCCUAUUGCAGGUUUCCGAACGCUGCAAGGGUAAUACCGAGGGAAGGUUAUAGAUGCAAGAAGAAACCAAGGCAUAUAUUGCUGGUUUUCUUGAUGGCGACGGAAGUAUAAUGUUUCAACUCGUCGAGCGUAAAGGAUACAUCUAUGGCUACCAAAUAAGAGCAAGUAUUUGCUUCUAUCAGGAUACAGGCCACAAAGAAGGUUUAAAGUGGUUAAAAGAGAAAAUCGGUUACGGUUAUAUCCGUGACCGGAAUGAUGGCGUAAGCGAUUACACCAUUGUUGGUCCCGAUAGAGUGGAAGAUGUUCUUAAAAUGGUAGGGCCAUAUUUAGUAUUUAAAUCGGCGCAUGUUGAAAGCGCAUUAAAGCUUCUAGUUGCACUUAAAGAAAAUCGUAAGCCGACUCCGGAAAGAUUUUUGGAGUUAGCAAAAAUGGUUGAUUCUUAUGCUAACCUUAACUAUUCAAAGAAGAAAAAGAAUAAUGCAGUAAAAGUUCAGGAAUUUUUGAAUAGAAAGGGUCUAUAUACCCCUGUAACGACUGAUUUCGCUACAAGCCGUAGCGAAUGAGAUAGCUGUAAUUAUAACUAUAAUACGUCAACUCCUCGAAAGAGGAUGGAGAUAUAGUCUAUGCCGCUAGUAACAGCGGAUUAAACAUGCGUGAGACAGUUCGGUCUCUAUCUGAUGUGGGCGUAGGAUACUUGAAGAGGAGUUCUUUUCAGUACGAGAGGACCUAAAGAAACUAACCUCUGGUGUUCCGGUUGUCCUGCCAAGGGCAAAGGCCGGGUAGCUAUGUUGGGAAGGGAUAAGCGCUGAAAGCAUCUAAGUGCUAAGCCCCCCUCAAGAAUAAGUAUCCCCAUUAGGCUGGUCGUAGACUACGACCUCGAUAGGCGCAGUGUGUAAGGUCCGUAAGGAUUUAAGCUAAUGCGUACUAAUCAGCCGACUGGCUUGGCCUU
rnacentral:rRNA from 1 species